UACGUAGGGCGCAAGCGUUGUCCGGAAUUAUUGGGCGUAAAGAGCUCGUAGGCGGCUUGUCAAGUCGGAUGUGAAAGCCCGGGGCUUAACUCCGGGUCUGCAUUCGAUACGGGCUAGCUAGAGUGUGGUAGGGGAGAUCGGAAUUCCUGGUGUAGCGGUGAAAUGCGCAGAUAUCAGGAGGAACACCGGUGGCGAAGGCGGGUCUCUGGGCAGUAACUGACGCUGAGGAGCGAAAGCGUGGGGAGCGAACAGG
rnacentral:rRNA from 1 species